ACACAUGCAAGUCGAACGGUGAAAGAGAGCUUGCUCUCUGGAUCAGUGGCGAACGGGUGAGUAACACGUGAGCAACCUGCCCCGGACUCUGGGAUAACAGCUGGAAACAGCUGCUAAUACCGGAUACGAGCUGCGAAGGCAUCUUCAGCAGCUGGAAAGAAUUUCGGUCCGGGAUGGGCUCGCGGCCUAUCAGCUAGUUGGUGAGGUAAUGGCUCACCAAGGCGUCGACGGGUAGCCGGCCUGAGAGGGUGACCGGCCACACUGGGACUGAGACACGGCCCAGACUCCUACGGGAGGCAGCAGUGGGGAAUAUUGCACAAUGGGCGAAAGCCUGAUGCAGCAACGCCGCGUGAGGGAUGACGGCCUUCGGGUUGUAAACCUCUUUUAGCAGGGAAGAAGCGAAAGUGACGGUACCUGCAGAAAAAGCGCCGGCUAACUACGUGCCAGCAGCCGCGGUAAUACGUAGGGCGCAAGCGUUAUCCGGAAUUAUUGGGCGUAAAGAGCUCGUAGGCGGUUUGUCGCGUCUGCUGUGAAAACCCGAGGCUCAACCUCGGGCCUGCAGUGGGUACGGGCAGACUAGANGUGCGGUAGGGGAGAUUGGAAUUACCUGGUGUAGACGGUGGAAUGCGCAGAUAUCAGGAGGAAACACCGAUGGCGAACGGCAGAUCUGCUGGGCCGAA
rnacentral:rRNA from 1 species